CGGGAAUAUUGCGCAAUGGAGGAAACUCUGACGCAGUGACGCCGCGUAUAGGAAGAAGUUUUUCGGAAUGUAAACUAUUGUCGUUAGGGAAGAGAAAGGACAGUACCUAAGGAGGAAGCUCCGGCUAACUAC
rnacentral:rRNA from 1 species